rnacentral:lncRNA from 1 species
GUUUGGGUUCGGGCACCACCACAACCAGGCACCGGCGGCGCCGUCGGACCCGAACCAGAUCUUCAAGAUCUUCUGCCGCGCCAACGAGAACUACUGCCUCACCGUCCGCGACAGCGCCGUCGUCCUCGCCCCCGUCAACCCCAAGGACGAGCACCAGGUCAGGUCCCCCUUCUUAUAUAUGCCUUUUCUUUUGUUUCUAUAUUCGAUCGGAUUUUGAUGUAUACUGAAAUGGAAUGAAUUGAAAUGCAGCACUGGUUCAAGGACAUGAGGUUCAGCACCAAGGUGAAGGACGGGGAGGGCAUGCCGGCGUUCGCCCUCGUCAACAAGGCCACCGGACUCGCCGUCAAGCACUCCCUCGGCCAGUCCCACCCCGUAAUACUAUAUUUCUAUUUUGCUGCUAGCUUUGUGCGUGCUGCCAU